rnacentral:rRNA from 1 species
GACGAACGCUGGCGGCGUGCCUAAUACAUGCAAGUAGAACGCAGUUGCGAACGGGUGAGUAACGCGUAGGUAACUGCCUGGUAGCGGGGGGUAACUAUUGGAAACGAUAGCUAAUACCGCAUACUACCAGAUGGACCUGCGUUGUAUUAGCUAGUUGGUGGGGUAACGGCUCACCAAGGCAACGAUACAUAGCCGACCUGGGAGGGUGAUCGGCCAAACUGGGGAUGAGACACGGCCCAGACCUCUAUGGGAGGCAGCCGGAGGGAAGCUUCGGAAAUGGACGGAAGUCUGACCGAGCAACGCCGGGUGAGUGAAGAAAGUUUUCGGAUUGGAAAGCUCUGUUGUAAGAGAAGCGGUAUCUUACCAGAAAGGGACGGCUAACUACGUGCCAGCAGCCGCGGUAAUAC